rnacentral:rRNA from 1 species
GACGAACGCUGGCGGCGUGCUUAACACAUGCAAGUCGAACGGAAAGGCCCUGCUUUUGUGGGGUGCUCGAGUGGCGAACGGGUGCGUAACACGUGAGUAACCUGCCCUUGACUUUGGGAUAACUUCAGGAAACUGGGGCUAAUACCGGAUAGGAGCUCCUGCUGCAUGGUGGGGGUUGGAAAGUUUCGGCGGUUGGGGAUGGACUCGCGGCUUAUCAGUUUGUUGGUGGGGUAGUGGCUUACCCAGGCUUUGACGGGUAGCCGGCCUGAGAGGGUGACCGGCCACAUUGGGACUGAGAUACGGCCCAGACGCCUACGGGAGGCAGCAGUGGGGAAUAUUGCACAAUGGGCGGAAGCCUGAGGCAGCAACGCCGCGUGCGGGAUGACGGCCUUCGGGUUGUAAACCGCUUUCGCCUGUGACGAAGCGUGAGUGACGGUAAUGGGUAAAGAAGCACCGGCUAACUACGUG